GGGAGCCUGAUGAUGAAGAAUUUCCAAGAUCUCCUUCGUCUGAGAAAGAAGAAUCUCAAGCAUCUGAACUUUCCAGUAUUGAUUCGAAGGAUGAAGGAACUAAGGAACAGGAUAAACCCUAAGUGGUUAUCCUGCAACAUUCAACCAUUCUUGUAUUUUCUUGAACAUUCUUGAAUGUUUGGUUGUAAUGUUGAUUUUAAUGAAUAAACAUCUGUUUUCUUGGCAAUUUUCUUUACCAUUUUGCACCUUUAAUUCUUGAACUAUUCAUUCUUUAUGCAUACUUCUUG
rnacentral:lncRNA from 1 species